rnacentral:lncRNA from 1 species
GAUCCACACCCGCAUUCUCGUCGUAGCAAUUGGCUUGCUCGUUGCAGCCGGUGUUUCAAGCGCCGCCGACUCUACUACUUCCACAACUCGUGUCUACAACUUCACUAUAAGGGAGCUUGUUCUUUAGCGAAAGGGAAUACCUCUUUGCUUGCCUGCUUUUGUUUGUUGCUCCAGCAGUAGUGACACUGUCUUGCUGCUGCUGCUGCUGCUCAGAUCCGGUCGACAAACGUGAGGCGACUUUGCAACU